ACGAUACCUGGAAUACUUAUCCUGGUGAAAUGCUACAAUGAGGUGUUUUAUCUGUCCGCUUGCGGAUAGAAUAGAUUAUUUUCUAGAGAGCCUUUACAUUUAUAAAUACCUUUGUACACUCUGGCGCCAUGCUAGGGAUGACAACCUAGUAUCUAAGUGGUGUUAGCUAGUGUCAACACUCAACAUGAUAAAGGCUAGAUAUUUAUGCUAACACUUAACUAGUUCCACAAAGCUUUGUUGUCUAUUUGAGCUCCAUAGAAUUCAAGGAUCAAAGAAGACUAGGAGACAGAGGACAUCCUAAUUGCUGUCAGGGUGCUGCCGACUUUCAAAUACACCUCCAUCACCUGCUAGCUACAUCAGAAGAAAUUACGUCAAAAUCCAGCUUGGGGGAGAGCACCCCCAUUUAUCCAGCUAAGUAUUUCUACUCGCGUUUAUACUUUACUCAAAUAAUAAAAGAUGCAUAAUCAUGAAAACCCAAAUAAAGAUUUUGUGCUUUUAUAUAUAUAUCUUUGCUUAGUUUGCUAAAUAAAUAAAUAAAUAAAGUUUGCUAUGAACCCUCAUGAUAAACUCUCACAUGGAAAUGAUGAAUAGUUGCUCUGCCAUGACUAGUUCUUAAAAUUGAAAUCUCUCUCAAGUUUAGGCAUGAUUGUUAUAAUUUAAACCUGCUCUAAACCGAAACUCGUGGGAAGAGUACUUGAUCUAAAAGUCUAAGUCGUUAACGGAUAUGAUAUGGGAAGGUUGAGCUGCUGUUUAUCUGUUCCUAGAGAUGCUAGAAUUCUGGAGAAUUUUAUCUUUGAAAAAUCUUUAAAAUAACACAUGAUGAGUUCCUAUAUGAUGAGAGUUUAAAUUCCUACCACAGCCAUAUAU
rnacentral:lncRNA from 1 species